rnacentral:lncRNA from 1 species
UAUAAUGUUAGAACUAGGCUACCAUGCUAGUAAUAGCACCAAGUCAUUGGUGCUACCAAGUUUUUGGCCAUUGGAUUAAGAAAUGUAUGGUUAAGAUGAUGUGGGCCCUCUAGGGUUGAGUGGGUGGUUUGUUGAAUAGUAUGAUCUAACGGAUGAAAAUGAUCAAAAGGGUAGAUCUAACGGUAGAAAACUUGAUAGCACCAAGUGCUUCAUGCUAUUAAUAGCAUAGUAGCCGGACUCUAUAAUGUUAUAUUUGAUUUUGUAUUUUAAAAAUUUAUAUUUAAUGUAACAUAUUUCGAAAUAUUGAAAGAAGAAAUAAUUGUUUUGGGUUUAAAUUUUCGAGUUCGGAUUCGGAUUCGGGUUUCGAAAUUUUUAUCGGGUUCAGGUUUGAAUAUGGAUUUAUAAAAUUUGUCGGAUUCGGAUUCGGAUUUUGAGUCGGAUUCGGAUUUGAAUUUUUAAAAAUUCGUCUCGAAUCUGACCCGUUGACAUUUCUACUUUGAAGGGAUACAUAAAUAACGAAAACUUGGAUGUAAUAAAUAUGCGAUUAAUCCUAAAAA